rnacentral:tRNA from 1 species
GCCCAAGUAGUGUAGUCCGGCCUAUCAUGUAGCACUGUCGAUGCUACGACCCGGGUUCGAAUCCCGGCUUGGGCG